rnacentral:rRNA from 1 species
GAUGAACGCUAGCGGGAGGCCUAACACAUGCAAGCCGAGCGGUAGAGAUUCUUCGGAAUCUUGAGAGCGGCGUACGGGUGCGGAACACGUGUGCAACCUGCCUUUAUCAGGGGGAUAGCCUUUCGAAAGGAAGAUUAAUACCCCAUAAUAUAUUAAGUGGCAUCACUUGAUAUUGAAAACUCCGGUGGAUAAAGAUGGGCACGCGCAAGAGUGGAUAGUUGGUAGGGUAACGGCCCACCAAGUCAGUGAUCUUUAGGGGGCCUGAGAGGGUGAUCCCCCACACUGGUACUGAGACACGGACCAGACUCCUGCGGGAGGCAGCAGUGAGGAAUAUUGGACAAUGGGUGAGAGCCUGAUCCAGCCAUCCCGCGUGAAGGAUGACGGCCCUAUGGGUUGUAAACUUCUUUUGUAUAGGGAUAAACCUUUCCACGUGUGGAAAGCUGAAGGUACUAUACGAAGAAGCACCGGCUAACUCCGUGCCAGCCGCCGCAGUAAGAC